AAAAUAUUUAAAAAUAAAUAAAUGCCAGCUAUUAUUCUUAUUCUAUGUAUGCUUAAUAUGACCACUUCGAUGUUUUAGCAGUCCAAAAUGUUUGACUACGUGAUUCAGUAAAGUAAGGAAGCAAAGAUGUCUUCUGAAGCCUGAAUAAAUAAGAAACCUUUUAGAUAUCUGUCCAUAUAUGGGCCUGAGGACAAGGAACGCCCGGUGUGGUACCUCCCUCUACCCCUGCAGUGGAGUAGAGAGACUCCCAUAGUUCAUAAGCCUGACAUCAAGGGAACAAAACUCUAGCAGUGGUUGAUGAGAAGACCGAGGAGUUUCUACAGGAAGCUGACUUACGUUUAGCAACUUCCUAAUCUCUGGUCACUUUGAGAUUGCUUCUACUGCCAGAACCACUGGAAGCAUUAACUUGCUCAUUUUAGUAAAUCCUCCAUUAACCCAAACUAAUAUUUGUGCUUUUUUUCUUUUUGGAGAAAAUAUGAAUCAGUUAUAUUUUUGGUGAGGAUUGAGUGUGUUUGGGAAGACACACAAAAAACUGACACAAAGAACUCCAGGGAUCUUCAUCGCCCCCCACAUACUUGGAGCAAACCUGACUUUAGGCAUCCUUCAUUUUCAGGUCACAAGGAAUCGAUAUCAUACAGCAUCUGUUACAUUUUUGGUGAGGAUCGAGUGUGUGUGGAAAGGGUCAGUCCUGGAAGAAAAUCACUCUGACACAAGGAGCUAAAGGGAUCUUCAUUUUCACCCACAUACUUGGAGCAAACUUGACUUUGGUGGGUCCUCCAUUUUCAGAUCACAAGGAAUCGGUAUCAUCCAGCAUCCGGUAGGCCUCUUUAAACAAUCAUUUCUUGAGUGUUGCAGGGAAUGUAGUGGUCACUUCACUGACUCUUCUUUCCCUGGAGGUUGAUGGUUGGUGGGGCAACUUUGGUUUCUCUCUGAUGCCAUCCAAAAUGAAGGAGAAGUUGGGAGUUGGUGGUGGUAGGGAGCUGGGGGCCAACAUUGCUCUAAAUUAGAACACAUUCUUAGCAGGAUGCACAGAUAACUUUAUCAUAGUUUAAGAAAAAUUAGUCUAGUCACCAUUCUGCUUUCUGUUUGGCAGCAUUCAUUCACCUUAGGCUGAACAUAGAGUGGUUAAAAUAUGAUUCUUAGGAAAAAUAAAACUAAAACUUACUAUAUUUUAAGUCCUUAU
rnacentral:lncRNA from 1 species